rnacentral:rRNA from 1 species
UACGAAGGGUGCAAGCGUUACUCGGAAUUACUGGGCGUAAAGCGUGCGUAGGUGGUUUGUUAAGUCUGUUGUGAAAGCCCCGGGCUCAACCUGGGAAUGGCAAUGGAUACUGGCAAGCUAGAGUGCGGUAGAGGGUAGUGGAAUUCCCGGUGUAGCGGUGAAAUGCGUAGAGAUCGGGAGGAACACCAGUGGCGAAGGCGGCUACCUGGACCAGCACUGACACUGAGGCACGAAGGUCAGGGGAGCAAACGGG